rnacentral:rRNA from 1 species
CAGCAGCCACGGUAAUACGAAGGGUGCAAGCGUUAAUCGGAAUUACUGGGCGUAAAGCGUGCGUAGGCGGUUUGUUAAGUCUGCUGUGAAAUCCCCGGGCUCAACCUGGGAAUGGCAGUGGAUACUGGCAAGCUAGAGUGUGUCAGAGGAUGGUGGAAUUCCCGGUGUAGCGGUGAAAUGCGUAGAGAUCGGGAGGAACAUCAGUGGCGAAGGCGGCCAUCUGGGACAACACUGAUGCUGAGGCACGAAAGCGUGGGGAGCAAACAGGAUUAGAUACCCCUGUAGUCCCUGUCUCUUAUAC